UCAAGGCCACGGGUCGACCGGCUCCGAAAACGGAGUGAUCGGCGGCAGUGUUACUCAGAACUUCGGAGUGGGAGGUGACAUUCUUUUUCCUUUUCAAUUUUCAUUCGCUUCUCUGAAAAUGGCAAUUAGGAAUCCAGAUAUUAAGUAUACUAAGCUCUUCAUCAACAAUGAGUUUGUGGAUGCAAAGAAUGGCAAGACUUUUCCUGUCGUUAACCCUUCCACAGAGGAAACCAUCUGCCAGAUAGCACAGGGUGAGGAGGCAGAUGUUGAUGUAGCUGUGAAAGCAGCCCGAGCAGCAUUUAAGAGGACAGCUCCCUGGAGAACAAUGGAUGCCUCCCAGCGUGGUGUCCUCAUGCACAAGUUGUGUGACCUGCUAGAGCGCGACAUGAAUUACUUGGCCAGCCUUGACACUCUGGACAAUGGCAAACCAUUCACUGAGGCCAUGUGUGACCUUGAAUACAGUGUGAAGACCAUCCGUUACUAUGCUGGGUGGUGCGACAAGAUCCAUGGAGACACUGUUCCUUGUGAUGGUGAGUUCCUCUGCAUGACAAGAAAGGAGCCAGUGGGUGUUGUGGGCCAGAUUAUUCCAUGGAACUACCCUGUGAUGAUGAUUGCUUGGAAGUGGGGGCCUGCUCUUGCUGCCGGUUGCACCAUUGUUCUCAAACCAGCUGAGCUGACACCGAUCAGCUCCCUCUAUCUUGGGGCUCUGGUCAAGGAGGCUGGAUUCCCACCUGGUGUCAUCAACAUUGUUCCUGGCUUUGGAGCCUCAGCAGGACAUGCAGUUGCUAAUCAUCCUGAUAUUGAUAAAGUGGCAUUUACUGGCUCCACUAUGAUUGGCCGGCGCAUCCUAGAAGCUGCAGGACAGUCAAACCUGAAGCGUGUCACCAUGGAGCUAGGGGGAAAGAGUCCUGUUGUUGUGUGUGAAGACUGUGGAGAUUUGGAUGAAGCUGUAGAUUUGUGCCACACUGCAAUGUUUGGCAAUCAUGGCCAAAAUUGCUGUGCUGGUUCAAGAACAUUUGUGCAUGAGUCUAUCUAUGAUGAAUUUGUGAAGCGAGCAGUGAAACUGGCCCAAAAGCGUCCUGUGGGAGACCCCUUUAAUGAAGAAAUACUUCAGGGACCACAAGUGAGCCAACAGCAAAUGGAGCGCAUUCUUGGGUACAUAGAGAAGGGCAAAGCAGAAGGAGCCAAGCUGGAGUGUGGAGGUGCUCGCCUUGGGAACAAAGGCUAUUUUGUUCAACCAACAGUGUUUUCUAAUGUCACAGACAACAUGACCAUUGCAAGGGAGGAGAUCUUUGGACCAGUGCAAGUUAUUCUGAAGUUUAAGACCUUGGAUGAAGCCAUAGAGCGCUCCAACGACACAAAUUAUGGUUUGGCCUCUGGGAUCGUGACUCGUGAUAUCAACAAAGCCCUAACUUACGCUCAGAGUGUAAGAGCUGGUUCUGUAUGGGUGAACUGUUACGAUUUGUGUCUGCCACAGACACCUUUCGGAGGCUACAAGCAGUCAGGUCAUGGCAGGGAACUAGGUGAAGAUGGCUUGGCAGAAUACUUGGAGAUUAAGACAAUCUUGAUCAAGGUACCAACGAAGGUGUCAUAGACACUCUAGUUCCCUCCAAGCUAUAGGAGUCAUUAGUUCUGAUUAAGUCACCAUAUAAAACCAUACACACAAGAGCACUACUGGAGAUCAUCUUGCUCACUUAUCACUGUUUUUUUGUGAUACUGUGGUUAGUACUUUAUUCUAAAUGUUAUAGUAUUGAAAGACCAAAGUAUGAGCAUGUUUAUGUUUGAGAUAUGUGGAAAGAAAUUAUUAUUUUAUGUAUGAAAGUAUAUUGUAUUGUAAAGAAACUAUAAUAUCUCAAAAAUAAAAUCUUGGAUUAUGUGGUAUCAAUUUCAAGCAGCAUUAAAAGAAUUUAAAAAAAUACGACUUCUGAAAGAUACAAGUAAAAAAUAUAUUUUUGUAGAAUUAUAUAUAUUUUUUUUUUUAAUAAUUUCUUUCAACUCUAUCUUGAAGCUUUUAGCUUUAGCAACAGCAUUUUUUAUGUUAAUGUCUGCGUGAAAAUAUAAUUUUGCUAACAGGAACUUUUGCAUAUUGUGUUUAAUUUGUAUAUAUUACAACAAAUCUGAGUAAUUCCAAUAGUCUUUUCAUUGUUCCAAUUCCAAAAUUUUAUUUUAGCAAAAUUGUGUUGAUUGUAAAAUUCAUUCUUGAACCAUGUUACCAACUUGGUACCUGUAUUGAAAAAAAUAUUAAGUGCGGUUGUCUGAUUUUCAGUGUCAAAACCUAUAAUUUUUAGUAACAUUGAAAGCCUGUAAAAUUGGAAAUAAAGAUUUUGAAAUUGAAAA